CCAUACAUCUUAUGUAUCAAGAAAAAAAAUUAAUUUUAAAUUUUUUUAAAAAUAUGUAUAUCAAAAUUUAGCAUAUGAAAACCCAUGGCUCUGAUACCACUGUUGGAAUUUGGGAUUUGAAGCAUGCAUAUGUGUUUCAAAAAUUUAAUUUUUUAAACAUCAUAAUGGAGAAUAAGAUUAAAAUAAUUUUAAUCUAAAUUAUAUAUGCAUAAAAAUAUAAAAUCACAUGGAUCUAUUUCAUAUGCUGAAAUUGAUAUAUGCUGAAAUUCAGAUUGUGAUCCAAUCGCAUACCUAUUUCGUAAUUUCUUUCUUCAAAAUUAGAUCUAGAAGAGAUGAGGCUAUUUGUUAGCCGCACAAGUAUCUAACCUCUAUGAGUAUCCACUCAGAAUCAGCCUAGAACAAUCCUCUAUAAUCUAACUUUUGAUUCUCCAAAAUUUAGCCUGCUGAAUCUAAAUGAAGUCUGGAUCACGAUCAACGUUGGAUCUUUCUCCUUGAUCCUUAUCUUCUCUUCCUCUCUAGCCUUUUUUCUUACCUUAUAGUGCUACAAGAGACCAACAACCAGCAGAUGAAGGGCCGCCCAACACCUUGGGCGUGUGCAACACUUGGGAUGCGCAUCCCAAGUAUGGGGCGUAUAUGGGAUGCCCAAGGGAGAAGAAGAGAAAGGG
rnacentral:lncRNA from 1 species